rnacentral:rRNA from 1 species
CCUACGGGAGGCAGCAGUGAGGAAUAUUGGUCAAUGGUCGGGAGACUGAACCAGCCAAGCCGCGUGAGGGAUGAAGGUACAGAGUAUCGUAAACCUCUUUUGUCAGGGAACAAAGGCGGGGACGUGUCCCCGGAUGAGUGUACCUGAAGAAAAAGCAUCGGCUAACUCCGUGCCAGCAGCCGCGGUAAUACGGAGGAUGCGAGCGUUAUCCGGAUUUAUUGGGUUUAAAGGGUGCGCAGGCGGUCUGUUAAGUCAGCGGUAAAAGCCCGGGGCGAAACCCCGGCCCGCCGUUGAAACUGGCAGUCUCGAGUUGGAGAGAAGUAUGCGGAAUGCGCGGUGUAGCGGUGAAAUGCAUAGAUAGCGCGCAGAACUCCGAUUGCGAAGGCAGCAUGCCGGCUCCACACUGACGCUGAGGCACGAAAGCGUGGGUAUCGAACAGGAUUAGAUACCCGGGUAGUC